UUUGCAGAUCCAAUUUAAAAUCACUGUCCAGUUUAAGACCCCAGUUUGAAACUGUUGGCUUAAGAUAAAGAGCCAGGGGGCCCCAAGUCGGCAGGGUGGGAAGUACAAGGUCCAUUGGGACCAAACACCAUCACUUCCAUCUUCUUUUCAUUGAGAAUCAGUGCCAACCAGGUCUUGAUUUCCUCUACAGGAUAAAAGUGGCCUCAUUGAGAAAGCGUCUUUUCUGCUCAGCGGGACAUCGAUCUGACAGGCAUUGAAAGGCAGACAACGCCCUGCACUGGAUGCCAGUCGAUCACCAAACAAAAAGAUCAAGUUUAUAGACGACAUUCACAUAGAAUUGGGAUCACCAACAUAUCUUUUUUAAACUGUCUUGUCUUUUCUCUCUCUGCUCACCAUGCAUACCACCACCCGCACGCUGCAGUUUUAUUAACCGCUUCUUUCCCAAGGUUUUAUUGCCGUCUGCUGCCUGUGGACAUGGGAGGAAAUAAAUCUCCCGAAUCCAAUUCCCACUGGCGUCUGUCUAGCGCUGUUUCCAGGCAAAAUAGGCAGUCGGCGUAAGUGGGAAACACCAGAGAGGUCGUCAGGAUGUGACUGAGCUGCGGGAGAGAAGACCCUUUCCACAGCAUCAUCGUUGCCUGAAUAAGAUUAAAUGCAACACGUCAGCCAACACGCUGGGCCUAAAACAGCAGGAGGCUGCGGUGAAAUCAACUCGGGUCAGCAGUCACAAAACUAAAGAGAAGAAAUCUGAGGAGAUAACUUGAAAAAGAAAAGUCAAGUCAAACGCAAUCACAACUCGUAGGAGCAAGGACAAGAGAAAAUUGCAUUUUAGUGGGUACUCCGGAUUUAUUUGGUAUUAUUAAAAUUAUUAUCAAGCAUU